ensembl:lncRNA novel transcript
UGAGAUGAGGAAGAAUGUAGGCACGAGCCUUAACUGUGCUGAGAAAAGACGGCACAUGAAAAUCUGAGCUCAAAAUGUAAAACCUAACUAACCUGCCUAAGAAGAGAGGAAAACUGUUGAUGUAGUGGGAACGCUCCCUCCUCGAGCAUUAACCGGGUUGACCCCACCCCUCUGUCCUCGCUGUCUUCAGUCCAAUCAAGAUCGGAAAGCAGGAUCAAGAGAAAGAUGAUCAGACCGGAACAGGUAAACGUUCCAUAUAGAGAUGCUUCGGAAGUGCGGAGAAGUGACAGCUUAUCCCCUCUCAGGCCGUCAUGUUCUCUCAGCAGACCCUCUGAAUUACUGAUGUCAGAACUUAUUGGCUGGGCUACAGCACAUAAGCAACUCCUAGAGUUUUAAGACAUUAAAAGAAGGUGAUUUCAGACAAGAAA